AGCUUUGCACAGUGGCAGUAUUGUAGCCAAUGAGGUUUAUCCGAGGUGUGAUUUUUGCUAAUUGAAAACUUUUCCCAGUACCCUGCGAUGAUGACUUGAAAUAUAUGGCAUUGGCAAUUAAAAAAAAAAAAGUAUU